AUUGAACGCUGGCGGCAGGCCUAACACAUGCAAGUCGAGCGGUUGAGUGGAGCUUGCUCCAUGAUUCAGCGGCGGACGGGUGAGUAAUGCCUAGGAAUCUGCCUGGUAGUGGGGGACAACGUUUCGAAAGGUACGCUAAUACCGCAUACGUCCUACGGGAGAAAGUGGGGGAUCUUCGGACCUCACGCUAUCAGAUGAGCCUAGGUCGGAUUAGCUAGUUGGUGAGGUAAAGGCUCACCAAGGCGACGAUCCGUAACUGGUCUGAGAGGAUGAUCAGUCACACUGGAACUGAGACACGGUCCAGACUCCUACGGGAGGCAGCAGUGGGGAAUAUUGGACAAUGGGCGAAAGCCUGAUCCAGCCAUGCCGCGUGUGUGAAGAAGGUCUUCGGAUUGUAAAGCACUUUAAGUUGGGAGGAAGGGCAGUAAGUUAAUACCUUGCUGUUUUGACGUUACCAACAGAAUAAGCACCGGCUAACUUCGUGCCAGCAGCCGCAGUAAGAC
rnacentral:rRNA from 1 species